UAAUUCCUGCUAGAACUGGACAAGAAAAGAACUAAAGUUCAGCUGUGUUAGUUACUGAAUUAUCAAAUUGUCAAUAAUAACAUGCAGCCAACUCUUCCUAUUCCACGUGAUGACCUCCUCUACUACCUACUGAUGCCAUAACCAGUGUGUAGUGGAUGCACAUAUUCAAGGACAUAUGAUAACAGACCACAGUUGGGUUGUCUCCAUGGAAACAAUUUUGAUGAUGGGGCAGCAAAUUUGUAGCUGAUCAUUUCUUUCUUAUACUUUCCUGUAGUAUGAAGAGUGGACAAAACACAGAGCUCUUGACUCCAUGGGAAGGAGAGAACUGGCAUUAAUAUGUUUGGGUUUUUUUCUUCGUCUGUCUCCAGUCAAGCACUGCUUUAUGAGCAUAGACUUUAACUCAAUGGUUUACCUGAUGCAGUGUGCAGCUGUCAAUACCCAGUUGGUUGCAAUGAGGAUUCCUCCACAGGUGUGAUGCCAACCACUAGUUGAUUGGUAUUGAAGAGAGGCCUAGGAUCAACAGAUAUCAAGCAAGGCUCAGAUUUUUGCUUGCUGAUUUUUCCAAUGUUGCAUUUUCUUCCAGCACAUGUAUCACAACUUGCUACUUGAAGGUAAUGGGAGGUCUUUAAGCUAGAAGAGUUUUGAAGAAUCUUAGAACCGUCAAGACCUCUAAGAGUACCUAGUGUAACUCUUCACCUACCGCCAGCACUGCCCACCAGUGCCACAUCUCCGCAUUCCUUGAACACCUCCAGGGAUGGUGACCCCAUCACUUCCCUGGGCAGCCUGUGCUACUGCAUCACUGCUCUUUCAGAGAAGUUGUUUUCCCCAACCUGAACUUCCACUGGUGCAACUUGAGGUUAUUACCUCUCAUCCGAUUGCUGUCGCCUAGAAGAGGCCAAUCCCCACCUCACCACAACCUCCUUUCAGGACUUCCUGUCCUCAGGAGAAGGAUUUCCUCCUUUCCUACCAUUCAAAAGUUUGAUAUUUUAAUGUUUGGGGUUUUUUUUUCCCCAAAAUUCAAGCCGGUCCAAACAGAACAUUUUGUUUUCUUCAAAAAUCAAUUUGUUAACUCAACGUACAACUGUGUUCCAGUAGGCAUUGUACUCUCCACUGAAUUUUACAUUAUUCCUGCUAAAUACGGGCUGGUCUACUGCGAGAACAUGAAGACCUCUCUAAGCAGCAAGCUGUGGCAUGCAAGGUAUUACAACUCUAAUCAUUUCAGGGAAGAACAGAAGGAUUCACCUGCCAGGGCCAGCUGUAUGGUCUUGCAUCUUCUCCUCCAACAACUCGAGACACAGCAGAACUGGUAUUGAAAUUGAGCACAUACCUGCAGCUGCCAGAGUCAGCACAGCAAAGAGGAUUCCAAGCAUGAUGCCAGCUCGCCAUCCUUCCUCAGUAAAACCAACUGUGAUUGCUUGGGAACAGAUGUUACAAGGAGUACAGAGAACAAGCUGUCUGUGAUGAUGGAGGAUGAUGCAGCAUGGUCUAGUCUGAAUAGGCUGAAGUAUCUUUCUUGGGCUCAGUGGACAUUGUAUGUUAGCAGCUCUGCUGUCGUACGUCAAAAACCUCAUCCCAAUGCCAUGAUGGCUUUGGAAACAGCUCCUGUCUUCGUGCUGGAUGUUUCACAGAACCUACACAGCUCAUGGGGCUUCAGUAAGAAAGAGCACAGGUACUUCCAGUGUGUUGUUAAAGCAUAAUAGCUAAUAACUCUGUCCGUGUGAUAAUGUACAAUUUAUUAGGUAGUCCAUUGGAUGGAUCCGUGAUCCAUUUAUGAGCGUCCUUCAAACCUAAGCUUGGUCUGCACACCUCCAGAAAGAACAAUGUUACCUGGAGCCCAGGGAAUGAAGAUUAAUGUUUCUGUUAUUGUGCUUUCCACCUUCUGCCUUUAAAAUUGCCUGUUUCCAGUUUGGACACAUUUAUAUUUUGUUUCCUAAGCUGUAUUUUUUUUUUAAACCCAAGCACUUGUGUAGCUGAUGUAAUGUAAGGCUUGGAUGUAAUGUAAGGCUUGUCCUAACUGAGCAGAGAGCAAGGGAAGGGGAGAACAGAGACCAAAUAAACCCACACUUCAGCGAUCAGGUUAGAUUCAGAAAUAUUUAUUUAGAAACAACAGCUUUGGUAUUUCAAAACCAAACAACCUUUAAACCACUAGAAAGUGAGAUGUCUCCCCCCACAGCCAAAACAAAUGAAUGCACAAAGCCUCAGUAUGUUCAGAAGAGGAAACCUGCAGAUCAGCAUUUUUAAGUCCCGAAAACAGUUUCUUUAAACUGAUUUUGCACUCUACAAUCAUAAAGGCUGAAAAGACAUUACCUGCACUUAGAUAUCUACAGUUCAACUGACUGUCUCGUUACUGAACUGGAGGCAAAAUUAUUAACAUCCUCCCCCACCCUCAAGCAAUAAAUUAAAAAACACCAGAAAUGAAGUUAUGCUGAAAUUUUCUAGUUAAUUUAACUCUACAAAGGGAAUCAUCAUUCUUUAUUUUCCUGUAAAAUUAAAAAACAAAUCAAAAUAUCAAAGGACUUGGUAUAUCUUCAAGUAUUUUUACCAAAUGGAUUACUUUUAGGGAACUCAACAGCUUAUAAGGAAAAAGAAAAUGUCUGUUACACAAGAUUCUGGGACAAACUCUUCAAUAACCACAUGUUCCAAGUCUCAGAUUCCUUUCUUAACAAGGCACAAAAGGAUUGUUGCUUUCAAAAGGUCCUUGUUCUCAGCUGAAAAAUCGUCAGAUGUCUUGUGCAAAUGGAGGCUGAAAGCAGGACUAAGUUCACUUGGACACCGGGAAAUUCCCAUUCAAUUCAUGAAACGGUGCUAUUUCAACACCAGCAAUCUUGCUUACUGCUACAGAGGUUUUGAGCUCCAGCUAGCUUCCACUGCAUCCUUCGUUUUGGAAUUGAGUUCUGCACCAUCUUCAUUUUAAGUAGGUCUAAUUAAGACAGACUUGUUUGCUAUACACUGCAAAGCUUUUUGCAAUAUCAAGAAGGAAGAGGUGUGAAGUCAGCCCUGGUGAGUAGCUGUGAAGUUUCUCAGCAUCUCAAAAAGUGUCAGGGACAGUUACCUGUUGUAAUGGCUAACAAGUAGUUUUGUAAAAGGCAGACAGCAAAUGUUGUAGAUGACAAAGGCAACAAGAUAGCAGUAAAAAACAAAAACAAAA